GCAAGAGCCACUGGUGCAGCUGCAUGCACAAACAUUCCCCAGAUGGAGUUUCUAAGUGGAAAGUGAUGAUGUCACUAGGGAAUUCAGACAUAAGAGUAUCAAAUGUGGCAAUCUCAAUCUUAUGGUUAAUUUUCAACAGCUGACUGCCUAAUGUCUGUGUUGCCACGACCUACUAUUAUGAAAUCAGUGUAUGGAAAUUAAUGUUAGUCAUUAAUAUGGAAAAGAGUGAUUUUAAGCAACAGAACAUUGUUGUGUUAUCUUACACCAGAGUUGAGAAGAAUACGUAGUUACAGAUGGGGUUUUAAAACAGCUAAAUGCCUGGAACAGCAAUAGCAAGAAAACCUUGUUUCUGUGUAUAAGGAAUCAGGUAGUGGUGAUUCAGGACCUGAAUGGUGCCCAUGUUUCUCCAAGCACCUGAAUCAUCCAAGGUGGGAGUCAGCUGGCUGGAAUGCUGGCGUUUACUUAGAAUCACAUUUUAAAGUCAAGUGACACACCUUCAAAAGCCCCCACAGGGAUUAACUAACAUAUAGAGAUCCAAGCUGUAAAAUAGAGCUCAGCUGAAUUACACAGGAAAAAUACAAC